UUCGAAAGGUGGAUUUUUUAGUUUGCCCCUGAAGAAAAAAGUCCACCUUUCGAAAGCGCUCGGAUUAUAAGAAUUUGUUUCAUUUCUAUCAAGACUUCUUGAACCUACGUGUUAUUCUAACAUCAUGAACGAAUAAAGAUAGUUAUGAUAUU